rnacentral:rRNA from 1 species
UAAUACGUAGGUGGCAAGCGUUGUCCGGAUUUACUGGGUGUAAAGGGUGCGCAGGCGGAUCUGUAAGUCAGAGGUGAAAUCUCACAGCUUAACUGUGAAACUGCCUUUGAUACUGCAGAUCUUGAGUUCGGGAGAGGUUGAUGGAAUUCCAGGUGUAGCGGUGAAAUGCGUAGAUAUCUGGAAGAACACCAGUGGCGAAGGCGGUCAACUGGCCCGUAACUGACGCUCAGGCACGAAAGCGUGGGUAGCAAACAGGAUUAGAUACCCUGGUAGUCCACGCCCUAAACGAUGAAUACUUGGUGUUGGUCUUAAUUGAUCAGUGCCGUAGGUAACCUGUUAAGUAUUCCACCUGGGGAGUACGCUCGCAAGAGUG